AUGGCCGCCGCCGCGACGAUGCUGGACUCCCUCCCGGCGCCGCUGCUGCGGGCGCUGCGGCUCAAGACGAAGCAGCAGGAGCUGCUCCUCCGGGUCUCCGCGCUGGCGCUCAUCUACGUGCUCGCCUUCGCCGUGCGCCUCUUCUCCGUGCUCCGCUACGAGUCCAUGAUCCACGAGUUCGACCCCUACUUCAACUAUCGCACCACGCUCUACCUCACGGAGCACGGCUACUCCGAGUUCUGGAACUGGUUCGACCACGAGAGCUGGUACCCGCUCGGCCGCGUCGUCGGGGGCACCCUCUUCCCGGGGCUCAUGGUCACCGCCGCGCUGCUCCACCGCCUCCUCCGCGCGCUCUCCCUCGCCGUCCACAUCCGGGAGGUCUGCGUCCUCACCGCCCCCUUCUUCGCCGCCAACACCACGCUCGUCGCAUACGCCUUCGGCCGCGAGAUCUGGGACUCCGGGGCCGGCCUCGUCGCCGCCGCGCUCAUCGCCGUCUGCCCCGGGUACAUCUCCCGCUCCGUCGCGGGGUCAUACGACAACGAGGGCGUCGCCAUCUUCGCGCUGCUGCUCACCUUCUACCUCUUCGUCCGCGCCGUCAACACCGGGUCCCUCGCCUGGUCGCUCGCCGCCGCGUUCGGCUACUUCUACAUGGUCUCCGCCUGGGGAGGCUACGUCUUCAUCAUCAACCUCCUCCCGCUCUACGUGCUCGUCCUGCUCGUCACCGGGAGGUACUCGCAGAGGCUCUAUGUCGCCUACAACUGCACCUAUGUGCUAGGAAUGCUGCUCGGGAUGCAGAUCCGGUUCGUCGGCUUCCAGCAUGUUCAGUCUGGGGAACACAUGGCCGCCAUGGGAGUCUUCUUCCUGUUGCAGGUUUUCUUCUUCCUGGAUUGGGUGAAAUACAUGCUGAAUGAUGUUAAACUAUUCAAGUCAUUCUUGAGAAUUACCCUGACCUGCGUGAUAAGUGUCGGCACCCUGGCUCUUGGAAUUGGUACUGCGUCUGGUUACAUCUCCCCUUGGACAGGGCGGUUUUAUUCCCUGCUUGAUCCGACCUAUGCGAAAGACCAUAUACCAAUCAUCGCAUCUGUUUCUGAGCAUCAGCCAACAGCUUGGUCUUCUUUUAUGUUUGAUUUCCACAUCCUUCUUUUCCUGUUCCCAGCGGGCCUCUAUUUCUGCUUCAAGCGUCUGUCAGAUGCCACAAUAUUUAUAGUUAUGUAUGGCCUCACAAGUAUGUAUUUCGCUGGUGUGAUGGUGAGGUUGAUUCUUGUUGCAGCACCUGCUGUUUGCCUUAUUAGUGCCAUUGCUGUAUCUGCUACAAUAAAGAAUCUGACAACAUUGAUUCGGUCAAAAGCCAAAAGUCCACAGACUACAGGAAAAACAACAGGCUCAAAGGCAGCUGCAAAGGGAGCAGUUGAUCAACCCUUGCCUUUCCAACAUAAUGUGGCUGUUGCUUUACUUCUGGGCGCUUUCUACUUGCUCAGUAGAUAUGCCAUACACUGCACUUGGGUAACCUCUGAGGCUUACUCUUCUCCUUCGAUCGUUCUGUCCGCAAGGGGUCACAAUGGAGGAAGGGUUAUAUUCGAUGAUUAUCGUGAGGCAUACUACUGGCUUCGUCAGAACACUCCUACUGAUGCCAAGAUUAUGUCAUGGUGGGACUAUGGGUACCAAAUUACAGCCAUGGGUAACAGAACUGUUAUUGUUGAUAAUAACACGUGGAAUAAUACACACAUAGCAACUGUUGGACGGGCAAUGUCAUCAUAUGAAGACGAGGCAUAUGAAAUAAUGCAGUCAUUGGAUGUGAAUUAUGUGCUUGUCGUAUUUGGAGGUGUUACAGGGUACUCCUCUGACGACAUCAAUAAGUUCUUAUGGAUGGUGCGUAUUGGUGGAGGAGUUUUUCCUGUAAUCAAAGAGCCUGAUUACCUUGUCAAUGGGGAAUAUCGUGUUGAUAAGGGGGCAUCCCCAAAAAUGUUGAACUGUCUAAUGUACAAGCUCUGUUAUUAUCGAUUUGGAGAACUGACCACGGAAUAUGGAAAACCUCCAGGAUACGAUAGAGUGCGAGGAGUGGAGAUAGGCAACAAAGACAUAAAGCUUGAGUACUUGGAGGAGGCAUUCACAACAUCAAACUGGAUAGUGCGCAUAUACAAGGUGAAACCUCCAAAAAAUAGAUCCUAA
rnacentral:rRNA from 1 species